CCUACGGGCGGCAGCAGUGGGGAAUAUUGGACAAUGGGGGGAACCCUGAUCCAGCCAUGCCGCGUGUGUGAAGAAGGCCCUCGGGUUGUAAAGCACUUUCAGUGAGGAAGAACGCCUGGUGGUUAAUACCCAUCAGGAAAGACAUCACUCACAGAAGAAGCACCGGCUAACUCCGUGCCAGCAGCCGCGGUAAUACGGAGGGUGCGAGCGUUAAUCGGAAUUACUGGGCGUAAAGCGCGCGUAGGUGGCUUGAUAAGCCGGUUGUGAAAGCCCCGGGCUCAACCUGGGAACGGCAUCCGGAACUGUGAAGCUAGAGUGCAGGAGAGGAAGGUAGAAUUCCCGGUGUAGCGGUGAAAUGCGUAGAGAUCGGGAGGAAUACCAGUGGCGAAGGCGGCCUUAUGGACUGACACUGACACUGAGGUGCGAAAGCGUGGGUAGCAAACAGGAUUAGAUACACUUGUAGUC
rnacentral:rRNA from 1 species